UCUUAAACGAGUCUUAAUCAUUCUUCGAAUCUGCCGUAUGUUUUUUCUUCGCAAGUGUGAUAAAAAACAUUGUGUGUAACUUUGGAGUUAAGGACAUUAGGGUGUAUGCUGCAGCCAACGGCGAUUGCUGCUGGGUAAUGGGGCCAGGAUGUAAUCAUGUAACAGAAGAUUAGGACGCAAGCAACGAGCAACUGUACUGAAUAAGGAUUACUGGCAGCUUCAGUCAAUUUCUGAAAUAAUAAGGUACCUACAAUUUCCUGGUCAAGAAAGUAAUACAUUGUAUAAGGUAAGGUUUCAUAUAAUUUAGCUCAUAGUAUGUAAAUUCCAAUUACGAUCUCAUAAUAUCUGGAAUUAGAUUUGCUCAGAAAACAUGUAAAAACUCAAUAAUCCGCGUUUUCCCAGAGAAAAUACCUAGCUAGAUCGAUUUUUCGCCCCCAAAAACUCCCAUAUAACAAAUUUCACCGAAUACCUGAAUUCCUGAAAUAUAUAAAUAUAUAUACAUAAAAAAAUCGCUCCGUUAAAGGUAUAAGAUAAAAUAAUUAUUAGGUUCAAACAGCACUCUUAAGUGUCCAACGGUGGACCUUAUGCCUUUUGUAAUAAGGUCCGCCGAUGGUCAGAUAACAGUGUGGGCGAUGGUACGUGUAAUUUUGCGUAAAACUUAUCGUCGGUGGUCGCGAUAACUUAUCAAAAUAAUAAUGAAUUAUAGCGCAAGAUUUUUUACACUAUAAAAGCUUCAACAUUUUCAAAUCCCUUAAAUCCAACAGAGAAGAAUGGCGGUGUGUUGUGAAGCACGUCACCAUCCGAUGAUGACCACGACCACCCUGUCAAGAGUGAAACGACUAAGAAGAAGAAGGCAUACUCUAAUUGUAAAUAUCGAGUUAUAAUUUUGAUCUGUAUUUGAUAUAGCUAUGAUCCAUCAGAGCAGUUAACAGUAACAUUUUUCCAGCCAGAAAUUUUACUUUUGAUUUGACACCUGACAAAUCAUAUCCCUAACAAAUCCGGAUCUAAUUCAU